rnacentral:rRNA from 1 species
AGUGAACGCUGGCGGUAGGCCUAACACAUGCAAGUCGAACGGCAGCACAGUAAGAGCUUGCUCUUACGGGUGGCGAGUGGCGGACGGGUGAGGAAUACAUCGGAAUCUACUUUUUCGUGGGGGAUAACGUAGGGAAACUUACGCUAAUACCGCUUACGACCUACGGGGGAAAGCAGGGGAUCUUCGGACCUUGGGCGAUUGAAUGAGCCGAUGUCGGAUUAGCUAGUUGGCGGGGUAAAGGCCCACCAAGGCGACGAUCCGUAGCUGGUCUGAGAGGAUGAUCAGCCACACUGGAACUGAGACACGGUCCAGACUCCUACGGGAGGCAGCAGUGGGGAAUAUUGGACAAUGGGCGCAAGCCUGAUCCAGCCAUACCGCGUGGGUGAAGAAGGCCUUCGGGUUGUAAAGCCCUUUUGUUGGGAAAGAAAAGCAGCAGGUUAAUACCCCGCUGUUCUGACGGUACCCAAAGAAUAAGCACCGGCUAACUUCGUG